GUUAUAUGCUUCAAAUUAAGAAAUGGAAAAGAGCAGUGAAGUGAACUCCAAGGCCACUGAAGACCGCGUAACGAUUGAUAUUAAUGAAAUGCUUACAAAAAUUCAAUCUCAUAAAUCCUCUGUUGGUUGCAUUUUCAAAGUGCCUAAUCAACUCCGAAGCGUUAAUGAAGAGGCAUAUGAGCCGCAGAUAAUUGCAAUUGGUCCUUAUCACCGCAAUAAAUCUCGUUUAAUUGCCAUGCAAGAGCACAAAAUACGAUAUCUUCGUAGCUUCCUUCAACGAAGAAAUGAGAAUGAUGUAUCAAGGUAUGUCCAGAUCAUAGGAGAGUUGGAAGAAAAUGCUCUUAGAUGUUAUGCAGAAACUUUAGACCUUACCGAAGAUGCUUUUGUAGAAAUGAUGCUUCUUGAUGGCUGCUUUAUUAUUGAGUUUCUAUGCAGAAUGUAUAGAUUUGAUCCAAUAGAUCGAAUAGACGUUAUUAUAGGGUCGAAUCAUAUGUUGAAUAGAUUAAUGGUGGACCUGUUGUUACUUGAAAACCAACUUCCAUUAUUCAUACUUCAGAAGUUGCUCGUCCCAAACAUCACAGAAGUGGAAUUCAUUCGGAUGAUUUUUGAUGUCUUUGGGCCUUUUCUUCCACGGCGAAUGUAUGCUCCGAUAGACAAUCUAGCAACGUUCAUGAAUCUACUGGGAUUGUUCCAUAACAUCUGGCAACCUUCCGAUGCAAGAGGAGUGAGUGAUGCUUUGGAAAAUGGUGGAAGCAAAAAAAGAUUUAUAGGCUGUGCCACAGAUCUCACAGAGGCAGGGAUUAAGUUCAAGAGUCUUGUGGAUGCUAAUAACUUGUUUGAUAUAAAGUUUAAAAAUGGAAUAAUUGAAAUCCCAGAAAUACGAAUCGGAGAUGAAACAGAGCGUCUCUGGCGAAAUCUCAUUGCCUACGAGCAGUUAACCUCUUCCCGAGGUCCACAACACUUCUCUAAUUAUAUUGCUUUCAUGGAUGACGUCAUCGAUUCUGCAAAGGAUGUGG
rnacentral:misc_RNA from 1 species